rnacentral:rRNA from 1 species
AUUGAACGCUGGCGGCAGGCCUAACACAUGCAAGUCGAACGGUAACAGGAAGAAGCUUGCUUCUUUGCUGACGAGUGGCGGACGGGUGAGUAAUGUCUGGGAAACUGCCUGAUGGCGGGGGAUAACUACUGGAAACGGUAGCUAAUACCGCAUAACGUCGCAAGACCAAAGAGGGGGACUUUCGGGCCUCUUGCCAUCGGAUUUGCCCGGGUCGCAUUAGCUAGUAGGUGGGGUAACGGCUCACCUAGGCGACGAUCCCUAGCAGGUCUGCGAGGAUGAUCGGCCACAGUGGAACUGAGACACGGUCCAGACUCCUACGGGAGGCAGCAGUAGGGAAUAUUCAGAAAUGGGCGAAAGCCUGACGGAGCAACGCCGCGUGGGUGAUGAAGGUCUUCGGAUCGUAAAACUCUGUUAUUAGGGAAGAACAAAUGUGUAAGUAACUAUGCACGUCUUGAAGGUACCUAAACAGAAAGCCACGGAUAACUACGUG